GGAGCGUGCCUGGCCGUCGCCUCCGGCCCCGCAUCCCCUCGCCCUCGCCGGCUGCUUUGCUGGGCUUGCCGUGCCUCGGCGUACGCACCGCGACACCAGAUUACGGAGGAACUGCACAGGGCCAGACGGCAGCUCUUAAUUUCCCUACUUUUUAAUUUUCCGCCCUCGCCGAGGAGAAUGCAGCCCUUCCCUCCGGCCGGUUUAUAAUGAGGUGAGUAAACAGCCUUUUGUCGCGUAGGGCUCGCUCGCUGAUGUAAUGUAAAUAUUAUUUUUUGUUUGGGCUA
rnacentral:lncRNA from 1 species